rnacentral:rRNA from 1 species
CGUAACACGUAUGCAAUCUGCCCACAACCGGAGAAUAGCUCCCCGAAACGGGAAGUUAAAUACUCCAUAAGAUCACACGAUGGCAUCUGAGAGUGAUUAAACGUAAGGGUUGUGGAUGAGCAUGCGUCUGAUUAGUUAGUUGGCGGGGUAACGGCCCACCAAGACGAUGAUCAGUAGGGGAACUGAGAGGUUGAUCCCCCACACUGGCACUGAGAUACGGGCCAG